UGCUCACACACCACACAGUAGCUUAGGCUGAAUAAUCUGCUAAUCCUGCAGUGCUGCUGAUCCAAGCAGCAGGACAGAGGAAAGACAAACACCUGCUGGCAGGAACAGUCGUCAUCUCUGCAGUUUGGAUUGCUUGCAGCAUGGAUGGUUUGUGUUGAAGCUGCUGUGUUUUUGGAGGGUUUUGAGAACCAUGUGCACCACCAUCAUGGUUCUCUCCACUUUGGCCUUUUUACUGCGCCAGCGUCUUUUCAGCCGAGGCAAAACAUUUCCUAAAAACGUGGAUGGAAAAGAGCCGCCCGCAGUGCAGAGCCAAGAUCCUAAAUGAAACGGCGCCACCAGUUUCCAGAAAGCCUCUCUGUGCUCCGAAAGUGGAACCAGCUGAGCCGCAGCAGCUUUCACGCCCUGCCAGCACGCUGAUCUGGAGGGAAGACCGUCAGCAUGCUCUGCUGAAAAGCCUUUCCUCCAGAACCAGGAGAGGAACGGAGAGGACAUCCUGGCUGAUCUCGUCUCGGAGAGAAGCCAGUGUUGGUGCGAUGCACGUUCACGGCCUGCUGCGUCUCCAUUUGAGGGGAAAUCCACUCCCACGCUCUCUGCAGCUCCUAAACACGAUGCUCGGAUUGUCGUGUUGUGUCACCGGAGAUUUCUCCCUUUGCGUUGUUUCUCAUGCACAUCUCCAGCGAUGACUAAAAUGUUUACAGUAACAAUUGAGCUCCUGUGCAAUUAAAGCUGUUUCCAAUCUCUUUUUA